rnacentral:other from 1 species
UCCAUUGUAAUUAUAAAAAUUAACUGUUAUAGUAAAGAAGAAUUAUUUUUGUUUUUUCGGCAAGGUGUUUGUCUUGAAGUUUGAGCAAGGAUAGUAACAAAAUGUGUGCGCAGGCACACGAGGAGGAAACACAAAUGGAACAAGGUAAAGUAAAAUGGUUUAACGCAGAAAAAGGUUUCGGAUUCAUCGAGCGCGAAGGCGGAGACGAUGUAUUCGUACACUUCUCAGCUAUCCAAGGCGAAGGCUUCAAAUCUUUAGACGAAGGCCAGGACGUAACUUUCGAUGUUGAGCAAGGCCAGCGCGGUGCUCAGGCAGCUAACGUACGCAAAGCAUAAAACCAAAUAGAUAAAAGACUCUCAUUCCGAGAGUCUUUUUUA